GAGUUAUGUAUACAUGCGAGGUUAAGGAGAAGAUCCGGAGCCGUAGCGAAAGCGAGUCUGAAUAGGGCGUUCAGUAUGUGUAUGUAGACCCGAAACCCGACGAUCUAGCCAUGAUCAAGAUGAAGUAAGGGUCAAACCUUAUGGAGGUCUGAACCGACGUUCGUUGAAACGACCGCGGAUGAAUUGUGGCUCGUGGUGAAAUUCCAAUCGAGUCGGGUAAUAGCUGGUUCUCCUCGAAAUAGCUUUAGGGCUAGCCUCAGAACACUACAUUUUGGAGGUAGAGCACUGAAUGAAAGCGAGCCGCGCCAAGCGGUAUCAAUUUCAAUCAAACUCCGAAUUCCGAGAUGCUUAUUCUGGGAGUCAGACUGUGGGAGAUAAGUUUCAUGGUCAAAAGGGCAACAGCCCGGACCGCCAACUAAGGUCCCUAAAUUCGCGCUAAGUGUUAAAGGAUGUAGAGAUACUUAAACAGCUAGGAUGUUGGCUCAGAGGCAGCCAUCAUUUAAAGAAUGCGUAACAGCUCACUAGUCAAGUGUCUCCGCGCCGAAAAUUUACCGGGGCUAAGCGCGAUACCGAAGUUGCGGAUAUUUCUAAAGAAAUGUGGUAGGGGAGCGUUCCAUUAGCAUAGAAGCCAUACCGGAAGGAGUGGUGGAGCGAAUGGAAGUGAGAAUGCCGGCGUAAGUAACGAUAAGAGGUGAGAAUCCUCUUCACCAUUUGACUAAGGUUUCCUGGGCUAGGUUCGUCCACCCAGGGUCAGUCGGGACCUAAGACGAGGCCGAAAGGCGUAGCCGAUGGACAGCAGGUUAAUAUUCCUGAACCCGGUUGUGUGCGAUCGCAGUGACGAAAGCGGUUAGGUUUACCCACGAAUGGAAGUGUGGGGAGAUAGUGAUAAGCUGUCGGCUAGAAUCCGACACCAAGUGAAACACCGAAGUACGAAAGGGGUGACCUGAGUAGGAAGUAGCUGAUACCGAUUUCCAAGAAAAGCUGCUAGCUUAAGCACAAUCGGCCCGUACCGAGAACGGACACACGUGGUCAAGGAGAGUAUCCUAAGGUGAGCGAGAUAACUGUUGUUAAGGAACUCUGCAAAAUUACUUCGUAAGUUAGCGAGAAGAAGUGCUCCGUAAAAGGAGCCGCAGUGAAGAGGCCCAAGUAACUGUUUACCAAAAACACAGCUCUAUGCUAAGUCGUAAGACGAUGUAUAUGGGGUGAAGCCUGCCCGGUGCCGGAAGGUUAAUAGGAGAGGUGAAAGCUUUGAAUUGAAGCCCCGGUGAACGGCGGCCGUAACUAUAACGGUCCUAAGGUAGCGAAAUUCCUUGUCAGGUAAGUUCUGACGUGCACGAAUGGUUUAAUAAUUUGGGCGCUGUCUCGACAGCAGACUCGGUGAAAUCUUAAUACCGGUGAAGAUGCCGGUUACCCGCGACUAGACGGAAAGACCCCAUGGAGCUUUACUACAACUUAAUAUUGAGUAAUUGCAAAUCAUGUAGAGGAUAGGUGGGAGGCUAUGAAGUAAUGGCGCUAGCUAUUAUGGAGCCGCCCUUGGAAUACCACCCUUGAUUUACAGUUAUUCUAACUUCCUCCCUGGAUGGGAGGGAAGACAGUGUUAGGCGGGUAGUUUGGCUGGGGCGGCCGCCUCCCAAAUAGUAACGGAGGCGCCCUAAGGUACCCUCAGUAUGGU
rnacentral:rRNA from 1 species